rnacentral:snRNA from 1 species
GGACUUGAGGGUGCUCUGGCUGUGACAUCUGCCAUGGAUUGCCAGGGUUGAUGCAACUGAUCUGGCUGGCUAGUCAGGGGGUCCCCUUCUUCCCUCAUCCCUGCUUCCCUUCUGAAGCUCCACACUUCAUGGAAGAGGAUAUUUCCUGAUAGAGGAGGAUCAUUCUUUGAUCAAGGGUGUAUCUCCAAACAAGCUCUCAAGUUCCAUUUGUAGAAGAAUGUAGUGGAGCCAAACUUCCAAGACUCCAAACACAUCUAAAUGAUCCAUUAUAUGUGGCAGCCUACCUU